rnacentral:rRNA from 1 species
GAUGAACGCUGGCGGCGUGCCUAAUACAUGCAAGUCGAACGCUGGAAAUCUAGCUUGCUAGAUUGAAGGAGUGGCGAACGGGUGAGUAAUACAUAAGCAACCUACCCACGAAGACUGGGAUAAUCUCUGGAAACGGGGACUAAUACCGGAUAGGUAAUCGGAAGGCAUCUUCUGAUUAUUAAAGGUUAAAAACACUGGUGGAUGGGCUUAUGGCGCAUUAGUUAGUUGGUGAGGUAACGGCCCACCAAGACGAUGAUGCGUAGCCGGCCUGAGAGGGUGAACGGCCACAUUGGGACUGAGACACGGCCCAGACUCCUACGGGAGGCAGCAGUAGGGAAUUUUCGGCAAUGGGGGAAACCCUGACCGAGCAACGCCGCGUGAGUGAUGACGGCCUUCGGGUUGUAAAGCUCUGUUGUAAGGGAAGAACGGUAGAUAGAGAAUAUCUAAAUGACGGUACCUUACCAGAAAGCCACGGCUAACUACGU